rnacentral:rRNA from 1 species
CUGGCGGCAGGCCUAACACAUGCAAGUCGAACGGUAGCACAGAGGAGCUUGCUCCUUGGGUGACGAGUGGCGGACGGGUGAGUAAUGUCUGGGAAACUGCCCGAUGGAGGGGGAUAACUACUGGAAACGGUAGCUAAUACCGCAUAACGUCGCAAGACCAAAGAGGGGGACCUUCGGGCCUCUUGCCAUCGGAUGUGCCCAGAUGGGAUUAGCUAGUAGGUGGGGUAACGGCUCACCUAGGCGACGAUCCCUAGCUGGUCUGAGAGGAUGACCAGCCACACUGGAACUGAGACACGGUCCAGACUCCUACGGGAGGCAGCAGUGGGGAAUAUUGCACAAUGGGCGCAAGCCUGAUGCAGCCAUGCCGCGUGUAUGAAGAAGGCCUUCGGGUUGUAAAGUACUUUCAGCGAGGAGGAAGGCGUUGUGGUUAAUAACCGCAACGAUUGACGUUACUCGCAGAAGAAGCACCGGCUAACUCCGUGCCAGCAGCCGCGGUAAAAGGG